CACUAGCUUUGAUAGGUGGUGCAAUUGGAGUCCACGGUCCAGCAAUGCAAGUCCAGCAACGUCUUCGCUUAGUUGGUUAACUGUGUUGGAUUAAAGGUUUGAGUCACCGCUUUAUUUUAUUCAUCUGUGAUUGGAAGCAUUGUAAUUAAGUUAAUGACCAACCGUUUCUCUUCUGUAUGUGAUUUAGUUUUGCAUAUCUGUGUUUAAUUAUCUGUUUGCGUCAGUGUUUUGAUUUUAUUCAUCCACAUUCAUACAAACUUUUCAACAACUCCCCCC
rnacentral:lncRNA from 1 species